CAUCCAGUGCAAACUGCUCUCAAACCGAGACCUAUAGGCAGUAUAAAACUUCGUCUCUCAUAUCCAGUAGCGAGGGGUUACUGGAAAUAAGUUUCGCAU
ncrna:unclassified sequences PhotoRC-II RNA